UAAAAAAUAACUGUGAGCGCGCUAUUUCCGAGAUGACUGUGUAAGCAUUCUGAUUUUACACCAAAAUUAUUGCGACCUUUUAAUUUUAAAGUGUGUGUCCCGGUGAAGACUUAAGUUCCUGGUUUCUGGUUCUGGUGAGCGCUAAAGAACAAUUUGCAUCUAUGACAUUUUUUUGCUUACUUUCCUAAUCUAAUAUUGGCAUUUUUUUUUUCAGCGAGUAAAGGCAAAGUUAGUACUUCACAUCCAAAUCAAGUUGCAGUAGAUAGUAAGAGAGAAGAAAAAUUGCAAUCAGUGUAUCAAAGGCAUCCUAAACGUUUAAAACAUCAGGUUUCUAAAAGUGACGAGGAUAAACAAGGUGCAUCAAAUGAAGAGUCCGAUCGUUCUGCUAGUAGCGGUUUUAUGUUUGAAAGUAAAAGUGCCUCUGUAAAGGAUACAGACUCAGAGGAGUUGUCAGCUCAGUGGCUGAAAUCGCUUGCCUUGAAGCCGAAUCCCAUGAAUUUUAUAACUACUCUUAGAAGUAAAUUAAAUUUGAGCAAUCAGAAGGACGGAGUCCUCAGUAGUGAUAGCAAACAGUUAAUGAUGGAGAAAUGUUUGAUGCAUUCAAUAAAAAAUUCAAAGAAAAUUUGGAAAAGUCACUCAGCUCAGAUAAUGAUACUAAAAUAUCAGAAUCAACUCGCACUAAAAUUACAUUCAAACCUCUAGACCAAUCUGACCUACAGCUCAAAAUACCCACCAAAUUAGAAAAUUCAGAAAACAAAAGACAAACAGAACCUUUCCCGUCGAAAAAUGGUGAUCUGGAAACUGAAGGUGGUAUUCAAUCACAAGAACCCACUGGAAACUUCUCCAUCAACAAACCACGUACUCUAAGAGCAAAAGAUAAAAGACAUAAAUCCUCGAAAGGCUCCGGCCCAAUAGUUAAAGAACCCUCCAAUUCUAGUCAAAAACCAGACUGUGUUUUUUUACCACUGAGUAUUGCUCACUUUCCAUCUGCCGAUGAGCUGAAGCAUAGCGGGAACUCAUCAACCAGAAGCUCAAGUACCCAGCCCACGAGUAACAUGGAAAAACCACUCAUUAUCCCAAGGCUCCAUCUAAAAUCUGGUCUUGCAUCAUCCACGGAUCUGUCUACGUUUCACUCAAAAUCGAACUCUGAGGUCUCGACUCAGAGCAAAGAUACGCUUCCUGCCUGCCACGUCAAAAUGCCGAUCCGUCUAAGACAAAUAACAGCAGCCGACAAAAGUUCUUUGUCAUCGAUGAGCGAUUUAUCGGAGUCCACAGUCGCGAUCGAAAACAAGGAGAACGAGUCUCCUCAAGCGGACAAGGAUGUAAGAAAAUUUUCAACCCUAGUGUCUUACGCCUGCAGGCUGAAGCCGAAUUAAAUCAAAUCGAUCUUUACAAUGAGUCUCUUCAGCAACUAGUUGACGCAGAACACUACAGAGACCUAACGCUUGCCAAAGAAGUGUCAGGAGAAUUAACUGCUAAAAAGGACUCGCGUAGUAGCUCCCAUUCUAAACAUCGCAAGAAGUCAAGAUCUGCUUCAACUACACCAUCUUUGACGGAAAUCACGGAUACAUCAACGAUUAUGUCAGAGCUGCUGUUGUUGCCUGCAACGGAGUUGAAUCGGCCAAGCUUCAAUUUUAAGUUCAGUCCCGACCAAGCGAUUAACAAACAAUCAAUGCAGAUGCUAGAGCAGUUGUUAAAAGACGAGGAAUUCUGGGCCAACCACCAAAAGGAAGCUUGAAACUGAGAGAAAAGGCUCUUUUAAACAGUAUAAGAGUAGGAAUUGUCUGGUUUGAAGUGCAAAAAAAACAACUGAAAGAUAGCGGGCAGGAUCAUCUAAUAAAAAAUUUGAAGAAGAAACAAAGAGGAUUGUUACUGAAGCUACAGCAGGAGAAAGAGGAGAUCGCCAGGUUGGUUUUUUUAAUUCCAAGAUAAUGUUUAACUAAAUGUAAUUAUGCUAAGCAGAACUAUGUGCAGAUUAAUGAAAUCAAGUGUAUUUUGGAUUUACUUACUCGGCU
rnacentral:lncRNA from 1 species